GAUGAACGCUGGCGGCGUGCCUAAUACAUGCAAGUCGAGCGAACGGACGAGAAGCUUGCUUCUCUGAUGUUAGCGGCGGACGGGUGAGUAACACGUGGAUAACCUACCUAUAAGACUGGGAUAACUUCGGGAAACCGUAGCUAAUACCGUAUAAUAUUUUGAACCGCAUGGUUCAAAAGUGAAAGACGGUCUUGCUGUCACUUAUAGAUGGAUCCGCGCUGCAUUAGCUAGUUGGUAAGGUAACGGCUUACCAAGGCAACGAUGCAUAGCCGACCUGAGAGGGUGAUCGGCCACACUGGAGCUGAGACACGGUCCAGACUCCUACGGGAGGCAGCAGAAGGGAAUCUUCCGCAAUGGGCGAAAGCCUGACGGAGCAACGCCGCGUGAGUGAUGAAGGUCUUCGGAUCGUAAAACUCUGUUAUUAGGGAAGAACAUAUGUGUAAGUAACUGUGCACAUCUUGACGGUACCUAAUCAGAAAGCCACGGCUAACUACGUG
rnacentral:rRNA from 1 species